rnacentral:rRNA from 1 species
CGCGUGAGUGAAGAAGGCCUUCGGGUUGUAAAGCUCUUUUGUCAGGGAAGAAACGGGAUGUCCUAAUACUAUGUCCUAAUGACGGUACCUGAAGAAUACGCACCGGCUAACUACGUGCCAGCAGCCGCGGUAAUACGUAAGGUGCAAGCGUUAAUCGGAAUUACUGGGCGUAAAGCGUGCGCAGGCGGUUAUGUAAGACAGGUGUGAAAUCCCCGGGCUUAACCUGGGAAUGGCAUUUGUGACUGCAUAAUUGGAGUGUGUCGUAGGGGGGUAGAAUUCCACGUGUAGCAGUGAAAUGCCUAUAGAUGUGGAGGAAUACCGAUGGCUAACGCAGCCCCCUGGGAUAACACUGACGCUCAUGCACGAAAGCGUGGGGAGGAAACAGGAUUACAUACCCUGGUAGUCCACGCCCUAAACGAUGUCUACUAGUUGUCGGGUCUUAAUUGACUUGGUAACGCCCCUAACGCGUGAAGUCGACCGCCUGGGGAGUACUGUCGCAAGAUUAAAACUCAAAGGAAUUGACGGGGACCCGCACAAUCGGUGGAUGAUGUGGAUUAAUUCCAUGCCACGCCUAGAACCUUACCUACCCUUGACAUGUACGGAAUCCUCAAUAGAU